GUUCUCACUUCAGCAGCACAUAUAUGAACAAUUAGAACGAUUUAGAGAAGAUUAGCAUGGCCCCUGUGCAAAGAUGACACACAAAAUUCGUAAAGUGUUCCAUAUUUUU
ensembl:snRNA U6 U6 spliceosomal RNA